AACGAACGCUGGCGGCAGGCUUAACACAUGCAAGUCGAACGCUCGCAGCAAUGCGGGAGUGGCAGACGAGUGAGUAACACGUGGGAACAUACCCUUUGGUUCGGAAUAACUGAGAGAAAUUUCAGCUAAUACCGGAUGAGCCCCCAAGUAGAGAUAUUUGGGGGGAAAGAUUUAUCGCCAAAGGAUUGGCCCGCGUCUGAUUAGGUAGUUGGUGAGGUAACGGCUCACCAAGCCGACGAUCAGUAGCUGGUCUGAGAGGAUGAUCAGCCACACUGGGACUGAGACACGGCCCAGACUCCUACGGGAGGCAGCAGUGGGGAAUAUUGGACAAUGGGGGCAACCCUGAUCCAGCCAUGCCGCGUGAGUGAUGAAGGCCUUAGGGUUGUAAAGCUCUUUCGUCAGGGAAGAUAAUGACGGUACCUGAAGAAGAAGCCCCGGCUAACUUCGUGCCAGCCGCCGCGGUAAAAC
rnacentral:rRNA from 1 species